rnacentral:rRNA from 1 species
UACGGAGGGUGCGAGCGUUGUCCGGAAUCAUUGGGCGUAAAGGGCGCGUAGGUGGCCUGCUAAGCGUGCGGUGAAAGUCGGGGGCUCAACCCCCGAUCGGCCGUGCGAACUGGGAGGCUUGAGCACUGUAGAGGCAGGCGGAAUUCCGGGUGUAGCGGUGGAAUGCGUAGAGAUCCGGAAGAACACCAGUGGCGAAGGCGGCCCGCUGGGCAGUGGCGUGACGCUGAGGCGCGACAGCGUGGGGAGGCAAACAGG